GCCAGUGUGGUGUAGCAGUUUGAGUGUUGGAGUAUGAUUCUGAAGACCAGGGUUCAAAUCCCUGCUUAGUCA